UUAUACAUGAAUCUGUUUCUGUGUGUUAUAUAAAAGUGUAGAAAUUAAAUAUAUUUUUUUUUUCUUUACUUUCUUGUGUUGAAAAGUGGAAUUGUGAUCGUGUUCAUUCCCUUAUUUAUAUUCGCAAGUUAUUCUCGAAUGAGGGAUUAUCUUGCAUAUUUCACUUUAUGGUUUUCCCUAUUUGAUUUGAUUUUUCUUAAAACAACCAUAGAACUAUUAAGAUGGCUGUGCGAAAAUUUGCUAUAUAUUCCCGACGAAAAUUUCUGGCUGGAUCCAUUUGGAAUCUUAUCAACUUUUAUAUUUUCACUUAUAAGCUACAUCAUGAUUAGUACUGUUUUUAAAAUAAUCUUUUUACAUUUCUUUCUGAAUUACAUCGAAGACAUUGAAAUAAUUUGAUGUAACAAAUGAUGAAUUUUAAAAGUUGACAUUGACGUAUUACAUAGUUUACGAAUUUUAAAUUGUGAUGACGAUUUUAAUUUUGUAUUAUUGUUGUUUUUUUAAUGACAUUAUUGAAUAAACACUGCAAUAAAAGUUUGUUUGUUAUAACACGCUUUACGCUGCAUACUAUUUAAUAAUUAUUUAAAUUAAAUUCCAGCAUCUCCCAUUGUGGUCGCUAUUGGAAGGGUCCUGUUUGUUAUUUAUUUGUCAUUGUAGCUGAA
rnacentral:misc_RNA from 1 species